AUUUUUCCAGUAUCCAGACAUCCAGAUAACCAGAACUUGAAGGGGAGGAAGCUAUGGUUUGCAUUUUUUCUUUAGGAAACAAGUAAGUCAGAGGUGCUGAAAACAGGACUUUAAGCAGAAAAAGCAACAUAUGAGACCAAUGGACUAUGCAUUCAUGCCUUCUUCAAACUCACUUUCUGCGAAACCAGGCUCCUUCCCCGUGCUGGCAGAAGUUUCAACAGACCUCUCUCCUAUAGGUCACGCUGACAUCUUACAUUCCAUGAAGAGGAUGGUGAGAUCGAAGAGCCAGCCAGGUGUGGCAGAGGGAAGAUUUCUCCGACUAAGCUAGGAGAACUGACUCUCCAAAGAGAAUCUAUAAGAAUACCAGGCUGGGAUGCCAAAACUACAUGCUGAUACAAAGCAUUUGCAAAGGAUGAAGAAAAGCAGAUCACUCUAAGAAUGACAGGUUUCCUGGGUGCUGUGAAGCAUACCUAAACAGAUAGCUGCAAAGAAGGAUCUUUUCUCUAUUUCAAGACAUGAACACUGCCCCAUCCCCACUCCUGGUAUUUUGUACCCUAAACAAAAUUGGGUAUUUGCCUGAUAUAACCUGAAAAAGGUGGUGCAUUAUACUUUACAUAGUGAUUUAUAGUUUACAGGCUGCUUUUACGAUGGUCUCAUUUAGUUUUCCAAAAUCAAGCUGUGAUAUAGUGCUAUUAUUCCCC
rnacentral:lncRNA from 10 species